ACCUAAAUUCGUACGUGCUUCAGAGAACCCGCGUUUUCUCGGGUUUUAUAUUUGUGAAUUUUGCGAUUAAACAGAGAGAAAAUGGCAGCGACAUCUCAGACAAGUGACGAACCAAGUACAUCCAAAAAAAUUUCAGUUUUUUUAUGCAGACACAAAUAAAUUAUAUGAAUGUUAUUUAUCCCCGGAGGAUGCUCAACGGGUAUCAAUAGAUAUGGUAUUUGUUCAACGCAUUUUUAAUGGAUUGAUUCAUAAUGCACGUACAGAAAAUAACAAUGAAAACAAUCCUUACCUCGAAGUUUACCAGUACAUGAAGCCAUUCAUGAUGUUGAUAUUGCAGAAUCAUCGCAGGUCUCUGUUAGUGGUAGAGGAAUGAUUUGGACACAUGAGCAAAUAUUGCUUUUAAUAAAUUUAUAUCGCUAAGAAUAUGCAAACAUGAGCAGUGGCAAAAUGGUCCUACGAAAGAUGUGGCAACUGGUAGCUGAAGAAAUGAAGAAAAAGGGUUAUGACAUUCUCGCGUGUAAAUGUGCCACUAAAAUGAAAGAAUAUCGUUAU